rnacentral:rRNA from 1 species
UACGGAGGGUGCGAGCGUUGUCCGGAAUCAUUGGGCGUAAAGGGCGCGUAGGUGGCCCAGUCAGCGUGCGGUGAAAGCUCGGGGCUCAACCCCGAGUCGGCCGUGCGAACUGCUGGGCUUGAGCACUGUAGAGGCAGGCGGAAUUCCGGGUGUAGCGGUGGAAUGCGUAGAGAUCCGGAAGAACACCGGUGGCGAAGGCGGCCUGCUGGGCAGUGGCUGACACUGAGGCGCGACAGCGUGGGGAGCAAACAGG